GUGCAUCUCAUAUGGGAGUGAAGAAAACUGCCUCUGGCUUCUCCUAAAAAUCAGUUCCAGAUGUGCUGGAGUAGGGGUCUUCAGAGAAAAUACAUGUUUCAGGAGCUCAAGGAACAAGAGAUCCCCCCACAAAUGAGAAAAUAGAAGACCAGAAGUGCAAGCCUCUUCCUUUUUCCAGCAACACCUUUCAUGGCUCUUCAUGUAGAGACACUCCCAAGGAAGAAAACGGCAAUUCUUUCACUGACCUUUCUUAGAAGACAAUUGCAGAAUUGAAGGAAUUAAUGAAAUUCCAGGGUUUUAAAGAAGUGGCUGAGCUGUUCCUCAACAGGGACCUGGCCUGCUGUUCAGUCCUGCUGGAUUUCAAGCUCUUCUUGCCAGGCUGCCCUGGUGCUCGUUCAAACACAUGUCAACACAUGCAAUAUGGACACAAUACCCUCAUUCCUACGGGCUCCAGGACCCAGCAGAAGAAAGCGCAGGCAGAAGAUCAAACAUGGAAGGAACAGAAGACAGAGGAGCUGCUGUUGUCGUCUGUGUCUGGAACAGAAAAAUGAACACAAGGGAAGAGACAGGGUAGGGGGAUAAUUACUUUCAUCCCAAUUUUAUUCCCACAAUUCCCAACCACUUUUGAAGCCAAUUUUCCUUUAAUAAAAUAUACUAUUAAUGACUCA
rnacentral:lncRNA from 1 species